GUGCUCACUUGAGCAGCACAUAUACUAAAAUUGGAACAACACAGGAUUAGCAUGGCCCCCACACAAAGAUGACACACAAAUUCAUGAAACAUUUAAAAAGAAA